rnacentral:lncRNA from 1 species
AGAAUGAGGACAGAUCCAAGGUUUGUUGAUGACCAUAUUGGGGGAGGAAUUCUUUCUUAGCUGAGUUUCAUCCUAGAGUACAUCUGUAGCUGUGAGACUGGCCUUGCCAAGAAUUUCAAACUUACAGAUCUUCUCUGGGAGUCAUUGCUGCCUUGGUGCCUAAAGAGAUGCUUCCCUUGGAUCCUGCAGUAUUGUUUUAGCCAUGUCCAACUCUUCAUGACCCUAUUUGGAGUUUUGUCGGCAAAUAUGUGAGUAAUUUAUCAUUUCCUUCUCCAGAUCAUUUUAGAGAUGAGGGAAGUGAGGCAAACAGGCUUAAGUGACUUGUCAAGGUCAUUAAUCAAGCUAUUAAAUAGCUAGUCUGGAGCCAGAUUAAAAUUUAGGAAUGUAAAGAGCAAGAUUUUUAGAAAGAGUUUGAACAAAAGCCAGUGUGCAGUGUAUUAAGCACAAACCACUUAGUUUAUUAUUAGGAAAUACAGAUAGGAAAUAGGAAGGAAGAAAGUAAAAGUAAUCUUACAAUCGCUUGUAACCAUAACUGAGACCCUAAUCCUAACUAAAUUUCUCUAAAAAAAUCCUUAAAUCUAGCUGUCUCAGAGGGCAGGAUCUUCUGCUGGUAAGCCGAAGCCCUCUCCUAUUCUCCUACUCUGGCUAUCUAACAAUAUAAGUACUAUCUAUCUACCGUAUCUCCCCAAGUUAAUAAUAAUCAAUGCAGCUCUUAAGGUCUUAAUUCCAUUCUUUGUCUCUAAACAGAGAUAGUGCUAGCAGCACACCCUCUCUCUAGGAGACUCAGAGACAAAAACAAACAACAACAACAAAAAAAACAUAAAAAAAAAAACUUUUGCAACCAACUCCUCUUACCCAGACCCUUCUUUCACUGCCAAGCAGCAUAGCAGUGGGUCUCCAACUCACAACCUGCACAGCAAGGG